CCCUUAGAUGUUCUGGGCCGCACGCGCGCUACACUGACGAAGUCAGCGAGCAUGUCCUACGCCGACAGGUGCGGGGAAUCUUGUCAAACUUCGUCGUGAUGGGGAUUGAUUAUUGAAAUUCUUGAUCAUCAACGAGGAAUUCCUAGUAAGCGCAAGUCAGCAGCUUGCGUUGAUUACGUCCCUGCCCUUUGUACACACCGCCCGUCGCUACUACCGAUUGAGUGGUUUAGUGAGAUCUUCGGAUUGGCGCCACUGCGGCUCAGCAAUGGGCUCGGUGGAUGCCGAAAAGUUGAUCAAACUUGAUCAUUUAGAGGAAGUAAAAGUCGUAACA
rnacentral:rRNA from 1 species